CCCACACUGUCGCAUCCAGUCUGGGGUGGCCAGGGUGUAUGGAGGGACUUUGGAAAGGAGACCUCUGGGAGAGAGGAAGGGCGGAGAGGUACUGCGUGCCCACAGACUGGCCUCUCUUUCCAGGCUUCCUGAAUGGCUCAGCCUUAAAGCCACCAAGUUGCAGAUGUUACCAUGAUGCCAACCUGACUUCCCUGGGCAGAUGACCUCACAGUGUGUCCUGGAACCCCACCACCGGAAAGCCCUACCCCACUAGGAAAAGAUGGAAACAGGCUGGAAGUAUGGAUCAAUCUGUCAGCGUGCAUGUACAGCAGAGAAGCAAUCACCUGGUCCCAAACCUUUAGACUUCAUUUGCAGAGGAUCUCCUUUCUUGUGUUCUUUUGACAGCAAGAUGGCCUGCUAAUGAUGAAAAUCCAGAUAAAGGGUUGUUAUUUUUCAUUAUGCUCACCUCACUAGAAUUUUGCAAGCACUGGGGAGACAGCAUAAUGGUAUGCAGAACAUUUUUAUGCAUGAGGCUCUGGGGUCUCAGGUUCAGUUCCCAGCACCACCAUAAACUGGAACUAGUCUCGUUCUCUCCUGUCUCUUUUUAUUCUCUCCUCUUUCUCUUUUGCUCUAAAUCUCAUUUUAAAAUAAUGUAUUGCACCAAAGUACAAGACUCUGGGAUGGGGGACCUGAACCCUCCACACACACACCUCAGAGUCCAGGAACAUGAUGGCAGAGGAUCUGGUGGGGGGUUGAAUUGUUAUGUGGAAGACUGAGAAAUGUUAUGCAUGUACAAACUAGUGUAUUUUACUGUUCAAUAAACCAUUAAUCCCCCAAUAAAGAAAUAAUUUUU